rnacentral:rRNA from 1 species
CCGAAACUAAGUGAGCUACUUUAAAACAGCUUUUAGAGCGAACCCGUCUCUGUUGCAAAAGAGUGGGAUGAUUAUUGAGUAGAGGUGAUAUACCUACCGAACUUAGAGAUAGCUGGUUUUUUAAGAAAAGAAUUUUAGUUCAGCCCCGAGCCUCCCCGUUACACAAAAAUUUAUUAAGGUCCGGGAGUUAUUCAAAUAAGGCACAGCUUAUUUGAAACAGGACACAACCUAGAAUAUAGGGUAAGACAAAUUUAAUUUUAAAUAAGUGGGCCUAAAAGCAGCCACCUUUCAAAAAGCGUCAAAGCUUAGUAACAAUAAGGUUCCCAAUAACCUCUACAACUUCUAACCCUCACACACUAUUAAAUUACCCCAUAAAACUAUGGGAGCUAUUAUGCUAGAACUAGUAACAAGAAAAAGAAUUUCUCCAAAAUGUAAGCUUCAGCCACAAUAGACAAACUACCGGCAAUUAACGCCUUUAAACUAACUAUAUUAACAUCACCAAGAAAAUCCUAUAAACCCCAGCGUCAACCUUACACCAGC